rnacentral:rRNA from 1 species
AUGCAAGUCGAGGGGCAGCAUGAGUGUAGCAAUACAUUUGAUGGCGACCGGCAAACGGGUGCGGAACACGUACAGAACCUUCCUUUGAGCGGGGAAUAGCCCAGAGAAAUUUGGAUUAAUACCCCAUAGUAUAAUGAAGUGGCAUCACUUUAUUAUUAAAGAUUUAUCACUCGAAGAUGGCUGUGCGGCUGAUUAGGUAGUUGGCGGGGUAAAGGCCCACCAAGCCUGCGAUCAGUAACUGGUGUGAGAGCACGACCAGUCACACGGGCACUGAGACACGGGCCCGACUCCUACGGGAGGCAGCAGUAAGGAAUAUUGGUCAAUGGAGGCAACUCUGAACCAGCCAUGCCGCGUGGAGGAUGAAGGUCCUCUGGAUUGUAAACUUCUUUUAUAUGGGACGAAAAAAGGCUUUUCUAAGUCGUCUGACGGUACCAUAUGAAUAAGCACCGGCUAACUCCGUGCCAGCAGCCGCGGUAAUACGGAGGGUGCAAGCGUUAUCCGGAUUCACUGGGUUUAAAGGGUGCGUAGGUGGGUUGGUAAGUCAGUGGUGAAAUCCCCGAGCUUAACUUGGGAACUGCCAUUGAUACUAUCAGUCUUGAAUACCGUGGAGGUCGGCGGAAUAUGUCAUGUAGCGGUGAAAUGCUUAGAUAUGACAUAGAACACCAAUUGCGAAGGCAGCUGGCUACGCGGAUAUUGACACUGAGGCACGAAAGCGUGGGGAUCAAACAGGAUUAGAUACCCUGGUAGUCCACGCCCUAAACUAUGGAUACUCGACAUUUGCGAUAAACUGUAAGUGUCUGAGCGAAAGCAUUAAGUAUCCCACCUGGGAAGUACGAUCGCAAGAUUGAACUCAAAAGGGAAUUGGCGGGGGGUCCGCACAAGCGGUGGAGCAUGUGGUUUAAUUCGAUGGAUACGCGAGGAACCCUUACCCUGGGGC